UGAAUUAGCAUUGAUUGAAUAUAACCUGUUUGCUUCUGUAGAGACACAGGAAUAGUCAAACUGAAAAUGCAGGGAGCAUGCAGUGGCUGCCCAAGCUCAUCUGUCACUUUGAAAACCGGCAUUGAAAAUAUGCUUAAGCAUUAUGUACCCGAGGUCAAAGGUGUGGAGCAAGAAUUAGAUACUGAGGCUGAGGAUUCUGCAUUAGCUGGUCAGAUGGGAGUAGUUAAAGUUUAAUCAUCUCCUAUUACCAAGUCUCACCGGUGGUAAUCAGAUAUAUAGUUGAUGUCAAGGACUAAUGGCAGCCGUCCUGUACAGGAGCAAAGUUUGUGGGGUUAACUCAGUUUAUUCGUUGGUAGAUCCUGUAAUUUAGUUACAAUAAUUUGCAUGGGAGAUUUUUGGCUGUAUAAUAACUAUAGGCUCUCAUGGUCUGUUUACUUCCUGGGCUUGAUGCAACUAAAAGUUUGGGUUGCCAAUUUAUCUUUUUAACAGUUUCUAUUGAUUGAUUGAUUGAAUAUUUAAAACAAUUUUUAAAUAAUUUAAAUAAGUAUUAUUUUUAUUAAGUUUA